AGCGAACGCUGGCGGUAGGCCUAACACAUGCAAGUCGAACGGCAGCACAGGAGAGCUUGCUCUCUGGGUGGCGAGUGGCGGACGGGUGAGGAAUACAUCGGAAUCUACUUUUUCGUGGGGGAUAACGUAGGGAAACUUACGCUAAUACCGCAUACGACCUACGGGUGAAAGCAGGGGAUCUUUGGACCUUGCGCGAUUGAAUGAGCCGAUGUCGGAUUAGCUAGUUGGCGGGGUAAAGGCCCACCAAGGCGACGAUCCGUAGCUGGUCUGAGAGGAUGAUCAGCCACACUGGAACUGAGACACGGUCUAGACUCCUACGGGAGGCAGCAGUGGGGAAUAUUGGACAAUGGGCGCAAGCCUGAUCCAGCCAUACCGCGUGGGUGAAGAAGGCCUUCGGGUUGUAAAGCCCUUUUGUUGGGAAAGAAAUCCAGCUGGUUAAUACCCUGGGGUCAUGACGGUACCGUAAGAAUAAGCACCGGCUAACUACGUGCCAGCCGCCGCCGUAA
rnacentral:rRNA from 1 species